rnacentral:lncRNA from 1 species
AGAUAGAUUCUUGCUCUCUCACUGAGGCUGGAGUGCAGUGGCACAAUCUCAGCUCACUAUAACCUCCACCCACCAGGUUCAAGCGAUUCUCCUGCCUCAGCUUCCGAAGUAGCUGAGACUACAGGCACAUGCCGCCACACCCGGCUAAUUUUUGCAUUUUCAGUAGAGAUGGGGUUUCACCACGUUGGCCAGGCUGGUCUCGAACUCCUGACCUCAAGUGAUCUGCUUGUCUCAGCCUCCCAAAGUGCUGGGACUACAGGCGUGAGCCACUGUGCCUGGCCCAAUGUAUAUAUUUUUAUUUUUUUAAUUUUAUUUUUGUUUUCUUGAGACAGGGUCUUGCUCUGUCACCCAGGCUAAAGUGCAGUAGUGUGAUCACAGCUCACUGCAGCCUCGAACUCCUGGGCUCAAGUGAUCCUCCCACCUCCGUCUCUUGAGUAGCUGGGACCAUAGGCGUGUGCCACCACACCUGGCUAAUUUUUUAUUUUUUUGUAGAGAUGGGGUAUCACUAUGUUGCCCAGGCUGGUCUUGAACUCCUGGGCUCAAGCAGCCCUCCCACUUGGCCUCUCAAAGUGCUGGGAUUACAAGUGUGAGGCACUGCACCUGGCCCUCAUUAUAGUUUAGCAGUUGAUUUUAUUUGUAAAAUUUUAGUUGCAUGGAAAAGUUUAUAUAUACCUUUAUCAUAAUUCCUUGUGCUAUUUAUAAUAAUUUUUUUUCUAUUUUUAAUCCUAUCAUUUCAUCCUUAUCACUUCUGAACAAAAUGCUUUUGGACAGAAUUGCUUAUGUUUCCUCACAUGCUUAGUUUUUAGCACCUGAUUUUGAGGAUUAAAUUGUUUUCUUUGCAUGGAUAUCAACAGCAGUUGCUAAGUGUACCUGACCGGAAAGAUUUCUUUAUCCUUAUUCUCUUAAAGGUCUGUAACCUGGAUACCUCUACCAAUGAAGCAAUGAUGGCUCAUCUGAAUUUUGGAUUCCUUGAUAAAAUCAUUAUCACAACUAUUUCAAUUGUUAUUCUAAACAAUAAUGACUCAUUACCUAAGGAGACAGUAGGCUAUUCCUUGAUGGGUAAUUAUUAGUGUAGACCAAUAUUAACCAAAAAACCCC